GGAGACUCAUGUUGUUUCUUCCCAUAGCAAAAGAAGGCCAUCUGUGAGGAGGAAGGAAGUGCGACCAGUCGUCAACCAACACCAGGUGGCUCAUAUAGCACCUGCUUUCAGAGAAGCUCAACAACCACAAGAAUUAUAUCGUCAGCAACAACAGGCUUACCAGCCUCGUAACAACAAUAACAACAACAGCACCAGCAACUAUGAGAGGAAGAGUGUUACUUUUGACCCGAUUCCUAUGACUUACGCUGAAUUGUAUCCUUC
rnacentral:lncRNA from 1 species